CCUACGGGAGGCAGCAGUGGGGAAUAUUGGACAAUGGGCGAAAGCCUGAUCCAGCCAUGCCGCGUGUGUGAAGAAGGUCUUAGGAUCGUAAAGCACUUUAAGUUGGGAGGAAGGGUUGUAGAUUAAUACUCUGCAAUUUUGACGUUACCGACAGAAUAAGCACCGGCUAACUCUGUGCCAGCAGCCGCGGUAAUACAGAGGGUGCAAGCGUUAAUCGGAAUUACUGGGCGUAAAGCGCGCGUAGGUGGUUCGUUAAGUUGGAUGUGAAAUCCCCGGGCUCAACCUGGGAACUGCAUUCAAAACUGUCGAGCUAGAGUAUGGUAGAGGGUGGUGGAAUUUCCUGUGUAGCGGUGAAAUGCGUAGAUAUAGGAAGGAACACCAGUGGCGAAGGCGACCACCUGGACUGAUACUGACACUGAGGUGCGAAAGCGUGGGGAGCAAACAGGAUUAGAUACCCGGGUAGUC
rnacentral:rRNA from 1 species